CACAUCCUCUGCUGGGCUACCUCGAGCAUGUUGAUCCAUCUAAUUCUACCUGAGGACAUGAAAACUGCUCCAGCUGCACCUGGGAGGGAAAAGGAGCCAAAAUCUUCCUCCAGAGUGGGAUUUUAGGAGCUGUUGAUCUCUCCCUGGUGAGCGGCAAGACGGAGCCUGAAUUUAUCUUUUUAUCUCUAAAUGAAGAACCACAGCUAGAGCACAGUGAGCAGGUACUGGGAAAAUCGUGGACUUCCAUGGACGAAUGGUUGGAGGAGCACUAAGAGGAAGCCCUGCAAUUUCCCGAUGAUCUGUCCU